CAAGUCGUGGGGCAGCAUGUCCCGCAGCAAUGCGGGAUGAUGGCGACCGGCAAACGGGUGCGGAACACGUACACAACCUUCCUUUAAGUGGGGAAUAGCCCGGGGAAACCCGGAUUAAUACCCCGUAAUAUAAUGAAGUGGCAUCACUUUAUUAUUAUAGCUCCGGCGCUUGAAGAUGGGUGUGCGACUGAUUAGGCAGUUGGCGGGGUAAUGGCCCACCAAACCUACGAUCAGUAACUGGUGUGAGAGCACGACCAGUCACACGGGCACUGAGACACGGGCCCGACUCCUACGGGAGGCAGCAGUAAGGAAUAUUGGUCAAUGGACGCAAGUCUGAACCAGCCAUGCCGCGUGGAGGAUGAAGGUCCUCUGGAUUGUAAACUUCUUUUAUCUGGGAAGAAAUGCAUUUUUUCUAAAGUGCUUGACGGUACCAGGUGAAUAAGCACCGGCUAACUCCGUGCCAGCAGCCGCGGUAAUACGGAGGGUGCAAGCGUUAUCCGGAUUCACUGGGUUUAAAGGGUGCGUAGGUGGGUUGGUAAGUCAGUGGUGAAAUCUCCAGGCUUAACUUGGAAACUGCCAUUGAUACUAUUAAUCUUGAAUACCGUGGAGGUCAGCGGAAUAUGUCAUGUAGCGGUGAAAUGCUUAGAUAUGACAUAGAACACCAAUUGCGAAGGCAGCUGGCUACACGAAUAUUGACACUGAUGCACGAAAGCGUGGGGAUCAAACAGGAUUAGAUACCCUGGUAGUCCACGCCCUAAACGAUGGAUACUCGACAUACGCGAUAUACUGUGUGUGUCUGAGCGAAAGCAUUAAGUAUCCCACCUGGGAAGUACGAUCGCAAGAUUGAAACUCAAAGGAAUUGGCGGGGGU
rnacentral:rRNA from 1 species